rnacentral:rRNA from 1 species
AUGGAAGGAGAUGAAAUUGUUCAAAAUCCAGGUGUUGGGCAAGUUGCUAGGAAAUAUAAAACCCUCAAUGACCAGCAAAAAUUUGCUACUUAUGUAGCAAUACAUACACUGUGUAUGAGUAGAGGAGGCACUUUUUGGGAACUAAUAAGCAAGACAUUGCAAAAAAAUUUGGAGUGGGUGUUUGGAAUAUACAAAGAAUUUGGAGGAAAGCUAUGA